CCAAUUCAAACAGCUUAGUCGAAUAUCUCACAUGACAACAGACCUUGAUGUAUGUCUGUGUGCUGAUACUUGCGUGAGAUCGAAAUGUCCGUUUUUUACCUUUACGGCUGUAUUUCAAUAGGAUCACAAACCUUCUGAAUAUACCGAAUACUGGCUGGCUGGCUGGCUGGCUGGCUGUAGGAUACUGGUGAUGAUACUGUUUGUAUUCAUGGGCUUGCAGUAUGAUACUGGUGAUACUGCUGGUGUUUAUGGCCUGACUGUAUGGAACCGGUGUUACUGCUUGUGUUCAUGGCCUUACUGUAUGGUACUGAUGAUACUGUUUGAAAUCAUACCGUGGCUGUAUGAUACUGGUGAUACUGUUUGAAUUCAUAUCCUGACUGGAUGAUACUGGUUAUAUUGUUUGUGUUCAAGGCCUGGGUGUAUGAUACUGGAGAUAUUGCUUGUAUUCGUGGGCUUCCGGCAUGAUACUGGUGAUACUGUUUGUGUUCAUGACCUGGCUGUAUGAUACUGGUGAUAUUGCUUGCGUUCAUGGCCUGGCUGUAUGAUACUGGAGAUAUUGCUUGUAUUCAUGGGCUUGCGGUAUGAUACUGGUGAUAAUGCUUGUGUUCAUGAUCAUGACCUGGCUAUAUGAUACUGGUGAUAAUGCUUGUGUUCAUGACCUGGCUGUAUGAUACUGGUGAUAAUGCUUGUGUUCAUGACCUGGCUGUGUGAUACUGGUGAUACUGCUUGUUUUCAUGUCCUGGAUAUAUGAUGAUGGUGACACUGCUUGUGUCUCUGGCCUGGCUGUAUGAUACUGUGAUACUGUUUGAAUUCAUAUCCUGACUUGAUGAUACUGGUGAUAAUGUUUGUGUUUAUUGGCUGACUGUAUGAUACUGGUGAUAAUGCUUGUGUUCAUGACCUGGCUGUAUUAUACUGGUGUGCUUUUGUUCAUGGUACUCUGAUAUUGGUUAAAUUCAUGUCCUGGCUCUAUGUUCUAUGCUCUAGGACAACCCCCUAAACAAGUUGAUGGCCGUUAUCGAGCCUGGUGUCGACCCCGAUGACGAGACUUGUCCCUUGAGCAACAUAUCAGAUGUGUUCACCAUAAGAUGAUUAAACUUGUAUAUGCUACUAUGGGUUAGACUGGUUGCUGAUGCUUGCUGAAUUCUGCCUUUCUUUCCGUGAACAGCUAAUGAUGCACUGAUGCAUGAUCCUUCCCCUUUGAGGAUGCCUUACAUUAAGGCUUACCAUGUGUUUUUGUCUGUGCAUAACUUGUGUAUAGUGUCUACUCUCCCUUUUUUCAAAAUUCUGGAUCAGCCGCUGAUUGAUGUAAAACUUGUGAUAUAUUUACAAACCUAAUAUUGUACUGUCUACAAUUUUGCUGUCUGUGACUGUGACUCCUCCAGGAAUGUUUCCGUGACAUCAGUUCCUGGAAGAGUUGCUUCGCUACCUCAACAAGCUGCUGCAGUGAACGCUAGGACUCUGCCAACACAGCUGAGAAGUACCCCUACCUGGAAAGGUCACACCAUGCAAAGCUGCUAGAGAGGUCUGCAGUGAAGGCCAAGACUCUCGCCGCCAUAGCUGAGGAGUACCCCUACCUGGCAAGGUCACACACACAACGCAGAGAUAUGUUUGAGAUGGGCUCAAAUCUGCAUCAAGAAUGACUACAGCCAGCCUUCAUAGACAUCAAGGACUUCCUCCAUAGACAAGGCAAACAGAAGUACGCGCUGCCCAUCUAAUGAGGGAUGCAGCUAAGACAGUUGCCUCCACCGUCUACGAGGAAACCAAAGAUCAGCUGCGUGAGCAAAGAAAGUGGUCAAAUGUAACUAAGAAAGUGUUAUCCCAAAUAUAACAUUAGUUACAUUUGACCACUUUCUAAAUGGCAUUGUGUAUUCAUCACUUCAUUCUUUCCCAGCUUUUCAACCGACUUCCACGUUGAAGUAAGAAACUCUGUUAUGAGGAUCUAGGCAGUACGUUGCUCAGUGCAUUCUAUCGAUCACACCUGCGAACCUUGCCAGAAGACACUGGUGGUCAGUUCAAUCCCAGUCUGUGAUAUACGACACCUGACAUGUUGUGAUAUGACGGACACACAACGCUGUGUUAACAAGGCACUUGUGAAGUACACGAUGCAACUGAAGAUGAAAGAUUGUAAAGAUACAAUCUGUCGCUAUACAUAUCUACAUACUUUCACAGAACCACAGACCAGCAAAUGUCAUUAACUAAUACUAUCUGUCUACUAUGUUUAUAUGAUAUUUUACUUUGCUUUUAGGGUAUAUUUGAAUGGUUAGUGAGAGGAGUCAUGUCACUGUGUCUCUUUUGCUGAGUAAUAAUUUACACAAAGUUGCAUUUUGUUAUGUUGACAACCACUUUAUUCUUUCCCAGCUUUUCAACUGACUUCCAUGUUGAAGUAAGAAACUCUGUUAAAAGGAUCUAGGCAGUACGUUGCUCACUGCAUUCUAUUCAUCACACCUGCUAUCUUUGCCAGUAGACGCUGUGUUAUGUAUUGACAAUGGGCUUGAUAUAUAUAUUUUACGUACGCCUCAGUAUACCACCAGAUUGGCGUAUGAAUACCAAGCAUCUAUGUUAUGUAGUCCGUGUCACCGAAUGAAUCAGUUCGUUACCGUCAGGAGUGUUGUGCGGUUGUGCUGGAGCUUAAAACCCAUAUAUGUCUGAAGACAUAUACAAUACACUGGUGGUCAGUUCAAUCCCAAUCUGUGGUAUACGACAGCUGACAUGCUAUAUAUUUAGGUGCUUGUACAGUGGACUAUAGACCCAACAAUGUAAGUAUCUGAUUAAGGACACAGGGAAGAAAAAUCAGUUCUGGAUAUAGAGUCAUGUCCCUUGGUAUGUAGUGGUAGAUUUAGAUGUACAGAGAAACGUCGUUAGUCCAGACUCCGUGGCUGUGUAUGUGAAACAGCAUGAGCAAUGUGAUCACAUUUAGUUGUGUAUGUUAAACAACAUUAACAAUGUGAUGAAAUUUAGCUAUGUAUGCUUUACAAAACUAUCAGUGUGAUCACAUUUAACUGUAUGUUUAACAGUUAAC
rnacentral:lncRNA from 1 species